UACAUGUGGGGCAAGCGUUGUUCGGAAUCACUGGGCAUAAAGGGUGCGUAGGUGGUAUGACAAGUCAGCGGUGAAAGCUCGUGGCCCAACCACGGAACUGCCGUUGAUACUGUCGUACUUGAGUGCGUGAGGGGUGACUGGAACGCGUGGUGUAGCGGUGAAAUGCGUAGAUAUCACGCGGAAGGCCAACGGCGAAGGCAGGUCACUGGCACGCAACUGACACUGAGGCACGAAAGCGUGGGGAGCAAACAGG
rnacentral:rRNA from 1 species